rnacentral:rRNA from 1 species
UACGUAGGGUGCGAGCGUUAAUCGGAAUUACUGGGCGUAAAGCGUGCGCAGGCGGUUCGUUGUGUCGGCGGUGAAAGCCCCGGGCUUAACCUGGGAAUGGCCGUCGAAACUGGCGAACUGGAGUGUGGCAGAGGGGGGUGGAAUUCCGCGUGUAGCAGUGAAAUGCGUAGAGAUGCGGAGGAACACCGGUGGCGAAGGCGGCCCACUGGGCUGUCACUGACGCUGAGGCGCGAAAGCUCGGGGAGCGAACGGG